AUGCUGGUAGAGUCCCAAAACAGUGCUUUCAUCUAUCAAUGCCCUGUUUCACAUUUCACAUGUGUCAUCGUGAAGGUUACUGGGACAAGGGAAGGAAGCUCUUUAGGAUGCCUAGGGUCUAUCCCUAGACAUUCCCUCCAACACUCACCUCGUCUACCCCUAGUCACCCCCUCCCCUCCAACACCCCCCUCCUCUACCCCUUGGCACCCCCUCCCCUCCAACACCCCCCUCCUCUACCCCUUGGCACCCCCUACCCUCCAACACCCCCCUCCUCUACCCCUUGGCACCCUCUCCCCUCCAACAUCCCCCUCCUCUACCCCUUGGCACCCUCUCCCUUCCAACAUCCCCCUCCUCUACCCCUUGGCACCCCCUCCAACACUCCCCUCCUCUACCCCUUGGCACCCCCUCCCCUCCAACACCCCCUCCCCUCCAACACCCCCCUCAUCUACCCCUUGGCACCACCUCCAACACUCCCCUCCUCUACCCCUUGGCACCCCCUCCCCUCCAACACCCCCCUCCUCUACCCCUUGGCACCCUCUCCCCUCCAACACCCCCCUCCUCUACCCCAUGGCUCCCUCUCCCCUCCAACACCCCCCUCCUCUACCCCUUGGCACCCUCUCCCCUCCAACACCCCCUCCUCUACCCCAUGGCUCCCUCUCCCCUCCAACAUCCCCCUCCUCUACCCCUUGGCACCCCCACCAACACUCCCCUCCUCUACCUCUUGGCACCCCCUCCCCUCCAACACCCCCCUCCUCUACCCCUUGGCACCCUCUCCCCUCCAACACCCCCCUCCUCUACCCCUUGGCACCCUCUCCCCUCCAACAUCCCCCUCCUCUACCCCUUGGCACCCUCUCCCCUCCAACACCCCCCUCCUCUACCCCUUGGCACCCCCUCCAACAUCCCCCUCCUCUACCCCUUGGCACCCCUCCAACAUCCCCCUCCUCUACCCCUUGGCACCCCCUCCCCUCCAACACCCCCCUCCUCUACCCCUUGGCACCCCCUCCCCUCCAACACCCCCCUCCUCUACCCCUUGGCACCUCCUCCCCUCCUCUACCCCUUGGCACCCUCUCCCCUCCAACACCCCCCUCCUCUACCCCUUGGCACCCCUCCAACAUCCCCCUCCUCUACCCCUUGGCACCCCCUCCAACAUCCCCCUCCUCUACCCCUUGGCACCCCCUCCAACAUCCCCCUCCUCUACCCCUUGUCACCCCUCCAACAUCCCCCUCCUCUACCCCUUGGCACCCCCUCCAACAUCCCCCUCCUCUACCCCUUGGCACCCCCUCCCCUCCAACAUCCCCCUCCUCUACCCCUUGGCACCCCCUCCAACACCCCCCUCCUCUACCCCUUGGCACCCCCUCCAACAUCCCCCUCCUCUACCCCUUGGCACCCCCUCCCCUCCAACAUCCCCCUCCUCUACCCCUUGGCACCCCCUCCAACAUCCCCCUCCUCUACCCCUUGGCACCCUCUCCCCUCCAACACCCCCCUCCUCUACCCCUUGGCACCCCCUCCAACAUCCCCCUCCUCUACCCCUUGUCACCCCUCCAACAUCCCCCUCCUCUACCCCUUGGCACCCCCUCCCCUCCAACACCCCCCUCCUCUACCCCUUGGCACCCCCUCCCCUCCAACAUCCCCCUCCUCUACCCCUUGGCACCCCCUCCAACACCCCCCUCCUCUACCCCUUGGCACCCCCUCCAACACCCCCCUCCUCUACCCCUUGGCACCCCCUCCCCUCCAACACCCCCCUCCUCUACCCCUUGGCACCCCCUCCCCUCCAACACCCCCCUCCUCUACCCCUUGUCACCCCUCCAACACCCCCCUCAUCUACCCCUUGGCACCCCCUCCAACAUCCCCCUCCUCUACCCCUUGGCACCCCCUCCCCACUAA
ensembl:lncRNA